UGACAAACAACGAAAAAAAAG
ensembl:piRNA 21ur-437 ncRNA